CCCGCCACUAUGCUAGUCUGUAUAAGUGACUGGGUAUAAACCAGUGGAGGCUGAGAAAACCCCAGCUCUAGGAAGCAGGGCUGCCCUAUUGGAUGGGUAACUCUGUGCCGAAAGACCUGGAACAUCU